rnacentral:rRNA from 1 species
GAUGAACGCUGGCGGCGUGCCUAAUACAUGCAAGUCGAGCGAACGGACGAGAAGCUUGCUUCUCUGAUGUUAGCGGCGGACGGGUGAGUAACACGUGGAUAACCUACCUAUAAGACUGGGAUAACUUCGGGAAACCGGAGCUAAUACCGGAUAAUAUUUUGAACCGCAUGGUUCGAAAGUGAAAGACGGUCUUGCUGUCACUUAUAGAUGGAUCCGCGCUGCAUUAGCUAGUUGGUAAGGUAACGGCUUACCAAGGCAACGCUGCAUAGCCGACCUGAGAGGGUGAUCGGCCACACUGGAACAGAAACACGGUCAAGACUCCUACGGGAGGCAGCAGUAGGGGAUCUUCCGCUAUGGGCGGAAGCCUGACGGAGCAACGCCGCGUGAGUGAUGAAGGUCUUCGGAUCGUAAAACUCUGUUAUUAGGGAAGAACAAAUGUGUAAGUAACUGUGCACAUCUUAACGGUACCUAAUCAGAAAGCCACGGCUAACUACGUG